UCCCAAGACUACUUAGCCCUCCUGUUGGA
rnacentral:piRNA from 1 species